GAUGAACGCUGGCGGCGUGCUUAACACAUGCAAGUCGAACGAUGAAGCCCAGCUUGCUGGGUGGAUUAGUGGCGAACGGGUGAGUAACACGUGAGUAACCUGCCCUUAACUCUGUGAUAAGCCUGGGAAACUGGGUCUAAUACCUGAUAGGAGCGUCCACCGCAUGGUGGGUGUUGGAAAGCUUUAUCGGUUUUGGAUGGACGUGCGGCGUAUCAGCUUGUUGGUGGGGUAAUGGUUCACCAAGGCGAAGACGGGUAGCCGGCCUGGGAGGGUGACCGGCCACACUAGUACUGAGGCACGCAGCAGAGGGGUACGGGAGACAGCAGUGGGGAGUAUUGCACAGUGGGCGCGAGCCUGAUGCGGCGGCGCCGCGUGAGGGAUGACGGCCUUCGGGUUGAAAACCGCUGUCGGUAGAGAAGAAGCGAAAGUGACGGUACCUGAAGAAGAAGCACCGGCUAACUACGUG
rnacentral:rRNA from 1 species